GGAGUUGUAGGGCAGUGGUAGCUCAGUGGUCUACUGAUUGGAAGGUCAUGAGUUCAAUCCCCAGCACCACCA